rnacentral:tRNA from 1 species
CCUUCGAUAGCUCAGUUGGUAGAGCGGUGGACUGUAGAGUUUCCGAGGCUUGGUGAUGCGAGCGAAGGCAGGACUCUGGGCUAACCACUACCAUGGCCCAGAAAGCGCCCCGGUCUUGUAUCAUCAGUUCGCGAUAUGUUGAAAUCCAUAGGUCGCUGGUUCAAAUCCGGCUCGAAGGA